UUGUUUUGUGUUCCUAGGAAAAGUUAGU
rnacentral:piRNA from 1 species